rnacentral:rRNA from 1 species
UACGGAGGGUGCGAGCGUUGUCCGGAAUCAUUGGGUGUAAAGGGCGCGUAGGUGGCGGGACAAGCGUGCGGUGAAAGCCUGGGGCUCAACCCCGGGUCGGCCGUGCGAACUGUUUUGCUUGAGCACUGUAGAGGCAGGCGGAAUUCCGGGUGUAGCGGUGGAAUGCGUAGAGAUCCGGAAGAACACCGGUGGCGAAGGCGGCCUGCUGGGCAGUAGCUGACACUGAGGCGCGACAGCGUGGGGAGCAAACAGG